GUGAUUGGCCGCUCAUUUGCAUAAAGGGCGCGGACGGGAGCGGUUCCCGCGGGUAAAGAGCGCGUGUGAUGAGUGUGCGGGGGCUCAGCCCUAUGGGGGCCGCUUCCAGCCACUUUGGUCCCUGGGAUGCUCUUGGGGGGUCUCUGUGAUGCUCUAGGGGUUCUCUGGGGUCCCUGGGAUGCUCUCUGCAACCUGCCCAGCCCCGGAUCGGCGGGAUCCCGGCAGCGAAGAGCAGCGGCGUUGGAGAGCGAAAUGCCUCAAAAUCCACCCCCCCAUGUCCAUGGGGAAUGUUGUCUCGGCGAUCCCGAUCCAGCCAAUCCCGGGCUAUCAACAAAGCCCCAAGCCCGGCCCCUCGCCCUGGAAUUCCUUUCCCUGUUCAACCCUAUGGAACGCGCCUAAUGACGACGCUUGGCCCUGCCUGUUCCUCGCCAAUCCCAAGCGGAGCCUCCUCCCCGGCUCAACCAGUUUGGAAUUGGGAUGCGGAGGACCCUGGGCUGGGCCGGGCGCUGGGCUGCCCGGUGGCGCCGGCGCCGCUUCGGGCUUCACCGAGGGCAAAAUCCGGCCGAAAUCCGGCAAUCUGGGGUGGGUUUUGGGGGUGUUUUCUUCCCGUUUUGCCCCGAUCCUGGUGCUUAUUAAAUAGUAUUUCCCCUUUUC